rnacentral:ncRNA from 1 species
GAAUUGAUCAGAUAGACGAGGCCGGGUCCGUCCCAGCCGCUGAUUACCGAGCGAUUCUGA